AUGAUUUUUUUGGAGUUUGUUGAUCAACUAUGUUUUAGGGGUAAAUCUGGGAGUUGGUUCAGACUCAUACUAAGGCAAAAGGUGGACGUAUUGACAUGUUGCACUAGAGGAACAACGACCUUGGGGGAGCAGGUGACGGUCGAAGGAAUGGCAUAUAGUGGCACAUCUUACCAGGUUGCAGCCGCCGGCGCCGCCGCCGCUGCCGUCGUCGCCGCCGCCGUCGUGGUGGAGAUCGAGGUCGCCUUCGCCGCACCCACCCAAAUCGUAUCAGACGAGCGUGAUAUCUGGGACAGAACGAUCGGGGUUGGCUGCCUCUCACGUAGAUCAACACGAAGGCUUGUUGGUCAUUUUGCUGUGGCCCGUCUCGUCGGGGGCAAAUCCUCAAGAUUACAGCAAAUGCGUGGCAAAUCCUCAGUUUCAGGGUAA
rnacentral:rRNA from 1 species